GUUGCUCGCCCUCCCUCCCCCUUUUUCUCCGUCUCACGCCCCGUUUCCUUCACACCGCUUGCAUCAUGCGCGAGCACAUUGACACGCUGCUGUCCCUGCGCAUCCGCGAUGUCGUUCAACAAGUCGUCACUAUCAGCCUCUUCCUGAGCGUCGUCCUCGUGGGCUGGCGCGGCGCGGCGGUGAUCACCAACUGCGAGGCGAGCAUCGUCGUGGUGCUGAGCGGGAGUAUGGAGCCUGGCUACCAUCGCGGCGAUGUGCUCCUGCUGCACCAUCGCCCCGAGUACCCGGUGGAGGUGGGCGACAUCAUCGUCUACACGCUGCCGGGACAGGACAUUCCUAUUGUGCACCGCGUCCACCGCAUCCACGAGCGUGCCGAGGAUCAUAAAAAACUAUACCUGACGAAGGGCGACAACAACAUGAACGACGACCGCUUUCUCUUCCAUAGCGGGCGGGAGUGGGUGGAGCAGGACAUGAUUAUCGGUAAGACGUUUGCCUACGUGCCGCGCAUCGGGUACUUGACCAUCGUGUUUAACGAGUCGAAGGUUAUCAAGUACGUUGCGCUGGCUCUCUUGGGCUUCUUUAUGCUGACCUCCACACAGGAGCUGUAAGCUGCGGUGGCACCGACCGCCGCUGCUCUUGCUGGGAUUGAAUGGAUAUGUGCCGUGGCUGCUGAUGCCGCACGCACGCGCCCAAGAACUCUAGUAGAUGGGCCCGCUGUUGGUAACAAGGUCGAAAAGCGGCAGCGGUUGGCUGGCCACGUCGGCUGUACAUGCACUCCGAGGUCAUUGUGUAUUUUGUUUGUGUGUGUGGGUGUUUAUGCCCCCACAUUGCGCCGGGCGCCCCCAGUGCGCCAACUCCGCUUCCUUUCGAUUUGGGGCCCCUUCCCCUCACCGCUCCUCUCACUCGCAUGGCCCCCUCCCCGUGUGUGGUCUGAACACCUGGACCGUGCAUCUGCCUGCUGCCCAUGACCGCACACGUCGCUUAUUCGUCCCUGCGUCCUUUAAGGGGGAGAAGAGGGGGUGCGCUGCGUCUAUCUCUGUGUGUGUGUGUGUGCGUGGGGAGAAGAAGCUAUCGAGCGACAGACAUAUAUAUAUAUAUAUAUUCAUUGACGAGGGAGCUGAUGGCAGGGGGGUGUGUUUCUCCCUGCCCCCUCCUCACCCCUCCCCAUCACCACCACCUCAA
rnacentral:misc_RNA from 1 species